rnacentral:misc_RNA from 1 species
GNGCUAACCGGCAAAGGAAGGCGCAUGUCUAGGGUAGGGCCGGUGAUUGGAGUUAAGUCGUAACAAGGUACCCCUACGAGAACGUGGGGGUGGAUUACCUCCUUUCUAUGGAGUAUAUUAAUACACUAACACGAUAUACACCUGUUACAUAUAACGGUGAAACAAUUAAAACCCAGCAAGAAAAGUUAAACCCAUAAAAGCAAAUUGAUAACUUAAAAAUUGUUGGUCGGAUUCUAUUCAGUUCUCAAGGGGUAUUUUAAAAGUAGUUAUUAAGUUUUUUUCUUUAAAGCUUUUGAACUUAAUAACACUUUAAGUUAACCUUGUAAACAUCAUUAAGUUUACCUUUCAGAGAUCAAAGAACAAUUAUUAAAACCUUUUUGAUCAGAUAACUAAUAAACUAACUAACUAAAUCAUCGAUGCAUAAUUAACUGCAUCAAUGAUUUUUUUUCAUUAUUUUUACCGCAAAAAAUGCAGAUUUAUCUGUUAAACUAAUGAUUUAAAAAGGCUUUUUUUUAUUAUCAAUCAUUGGUUAUUUUUUACUUGUGAUUUUAGCUUUAAUGCUUAUAAAAAAAUCCAAUGAUAAAAGUUUUUUUAGAAAAGUGUUGUACAAACUGAUUUGUUGUGCUAUAAUCUAUAAGGCUUAUAUAGCUACAUUGUUCUUUGAAAACUGAAUACGACAAAUCUUUCUAGUCCGAAAUUUGAUUAAAGUAUCAAAUCAAAUUUCAUAUAAUAUAGAUUCAAUAAAAAUAGCUAAUGGAUCAAAUACAUAAGUUACUAAGGGCUUAUGGUGGAUGCCUUGGGUCUGAAGUCCCAAUGAAGGA